rnacentral:rRNA from 1 species
GACGAACGCUGGCGGCGUGCCUAAUACAUGCAAGUCGAACGCUUUUUCUUUCACCGGAGCUUGCUCCACCGAAAGAAAAAGAGUGGCGAACGGGUGAGUAACACGUGGGUAACCUGCCCAUCAGAAGGGGAUAACACUUGGAAACAGGUGCUAAUACCGUAUAACACUAUUUUCCGCAUGGAAGAAAGUUGAAAGGCGCUUUUGCGUCACUGAUGGAUGGACCCGCGGUGCAUUAGCUAGUUGGUGAGGUAACGGCUCACCAAGGCAACGAUGCAUAGCCGACCUGAGAGGGUGAUCGGCCACACUGGGACUGAGACACGGCCCAGACUCCUACGGGAGGCAGCAGUAGGGAAUCUUCGGCAAUGGACGAAAGUCUGACCGAGCAACGCCGCGUGAGUGAAGAAGGUUUUCGGAUCGUAAAAACUCUGUUGUUAGAGA